rnacentral:rRNA from 1 species
UACGGAGGGUGCAAGCGUUAUCCGGAUUCACUGGGUUUAAAGGGUGCGUAGGAGGGCAGAUAAGUCAGUGGUGAAAUCUUCGAGCUUAACUCGGAAACUGCCGUUGAUACUAUUUGUCUUGAAUACCGUGGAGGUGAGCGGAAUAUGUCAUGUAGCGGUGAAAUGCUUAGAUAUGACAUAGAACACCAAUUGCGAAGGCAGCUCACUACACGAGCAUUGACUCUGAGGCACGAAAGCGUGGGGAGCAAACAGG